GACUGCCCCAGGGUGCAACCUGGAACUGAGAUACUGCUGAGCCCUCUGGGCCCCCUCUCAAGCUGUGAGGCUGUGACAAGCUACAGUCUUCUCCAGGACUUGCACUGAUACAGCCAUACACAAACAGGGACACACCCAGCUGCAGUUACAUGAAUGCUUUCUCUAACCAGUCACUCAUAAACCAACAAUAGAGAGGCUUCAGCCAGCCCCGCACCCCAGCUCCCCAGCCUCGGACCCCAGACCUCUACCAUCUUGCUCUGGUCAAAAGUGGCAUCUAUGUGCCUGCUGAGCAGAAAUGGAAGUGACAAAAUACCAAAAGAAGCAAUGAUCCCUGUAUUUCUGCACUCACCAGAAGGAGGAAAUACUGGAAAUCUAGGUCUGAUUUUCCGGAUUUUCUAUGCAGUAUAUAUUUGUUAGGAAAGAAAACAUCUGCGGAUCUUACUACACAUGCUGCCUCACUGUGGUAGUGCAUCGUGCUCAGCAAGGACUAUCCAGAUGAGGAGCAUGCAAUAAACUGAGGGAGGUGAGAAUUCUUUAUCUGACUCAGCUAAUAUAGACACUGAUUUUUCGAGGAUCAAUCUGUAUUCUAGAUCUUUCCUAGUACAAAGGAAUGCUACCUUCAGCCCAUUGAUAUCAGUGGAAGCAGGCCCUUAUUUAAGAAACGCAAUAGGGCUAAAGCUGAUGGAUUAGUUUUAUGGGAGUGGUGAAUUUAUACUGUUUAUUUAGGCAGGAAAAAACUCAAUUAUAGGUGUGACUCAUGGUGCUGGGGCAGCCCUCACUGGAAAUACGAAGGUCAGGGCAGGCUG